CUCUUAAGUUAUAUUAUCAAAACUGAAUAUUUUAGUUAUUUUGACAGUAUAGCAGAUAGUGUGUUACAUCUUCUAUGGUUUCACAGGUUAGGCACGGUCUUUGAUUUAGAGGUAAAUGCUAUACAUUUUAGCAUAAAAAGUAAGGUUGUCCGAUAUCUUCUACUACAAUUGGAUACUAUUCAGCUGUCCUAUGUAAGGUAUACAAACUCGUCAGUCCAUAUGAAUGAAAGGGGAAAUGAGUCAGGUAUACAUGAAUUUGACUCCA
rnacentral:lncRNA from 1 species